rnacentral:rRNA from 1 species
GACGAACGCUGGCGGCGUGCUUAACACAUGCAAGUCGAACGGAAAGGCCCUGCUUUUGUGGGGUGCUCGAGUGGCGAACGGGUGAGUAACACGUGAGUAACCUGCCCUUGACUUUGGGAUAACUUCAGGAAACUGGGGCUAAUACCGGAUAGGAGCUCCUGCUGCAUGGUGGGGGUUGGAUAGUUUCGGCGGUUGGGGAUGGACUCGCGGCUUAUCAGCUUGUUGGUGGGGUAGUGGCUUACCAAGGCUUUGACGGGUAGCCGGCCUGAGAGGGUGACCGGCGACAUGGGGACUGAGAUACGGCCCAGACUCCUACGGGAGGCAGCAGGGGGGAAUAUUGCACAAUGGGCGGAAGCCUGAUGCAGCAACGCCGCGUGCGGGAUGACGGCCUUCGGGUUGUAAACCGCUUUCGCCUGUGACGAAGCGUGAGUGACGGUAAUGGGUAAAGAAGCACCGGCUAACUACGUG